ACAAGUUGGUGAAAAAGUAAAUUAAGAUUAGCUAAUGUCAUGUAUUGUGCAUCAAAUCAAAUCGAUCAAAAGGAAUUUAUUCUUUUGAUUGAUCUCCAAUACAUGUAUAAUCCUUUGAUAUCAAUAACAUGUAUGCAACUAUAAAUUGCAAGAUCAGCAGAAUAUAUUCUUCGUUUCUGUAUUUCUGUAGUAGGAAUUUACCAGGGAUUUAUGGAGGUAUCAAUUCCUCCUAAAGUUGGGUUGGUUGGGGAUAGAAUCAAAAUCCCAUCAUUCAUGCCAAAGCAUACUUGAAGCUUACUAAGCAUAUCUACAUCUCCAUCUACGACUCCACAACAAUCAGAGACAUGGGUUGGUUUUUCACAGAAAGAAGAGGACCUGCAUGGAAGCAAGGGUGGGCAGAGCAAACUCUAUCCUCCAUUUCUGCACCUCCUCUACCUUUAGUUGCCAUUUUCGGAAUCAUUUUUCUUCUUUUUUGGCUUUCAUCUUACAUCAACUACAGAUUGCAGAUGCAGCACACUAUGACCAACUUAAAGGCCGAGAACAUACCGGCGUCCGGCUGAUGUUGGAAGCAAAUAUGGUAACUUGCCUUGGAGCCUGAUGGUGCUGGUGCUGGUGCUUUUGGUUAUGGUAUCUUACCACUCCCAUGUUCAAUCCAUGUGGACUCCGAGUAUUUAGAGUUUGUUGGGUGGCUAUUUUGUACUGUAUUAACAUUUUUCAGUUACCGUCUCUAUGUAUUAACAAGUUUGACUUGGGUUUAGUUUGAAUUAUGUACUUUUGUGAUCUUACUUAUAUUUGCUAUUAUCAGAAGUCCUAAAUUUAUUGCAGUAAA